rnacentral:rRNA from 1 species
GAUGAACGCUGGCGGCGUGCCUAAUACGUGCAAGUCGAACGAGGCCCCCACCUUCCGGGUGGGAUGUCCUAGUGGCGAACGGGUGAGUAUCACGUUGGUGACCUACCCCGAAGACGGGGGACAACUCCGGGAAACUGGAGCUAAUACCCCAUGUGAUCCUAAGGACUAGAUGCCUAAGGAUGAAAGGGAGCAAUCCGCUUCGGGAGGGGCCUGCGGCCUAUCAGCUAGUUGGUGAGGUAAUGGCUCACCAAGGCGACGACGGGUAGGGGACCUGAGAGGGUGAUCCCCCACACUGGAACUGAAACACGGACCAGACACCUACGGGUGGCAGCAGUAGGGAAUAUUGCACAAUGGGCGAAAGCCUGAUGCAGCAACGCCGCGUGCGCGAUGAAGGCCUUCGGGUUGUAAAGCGCUUUUCUGGGGGACGAGAAAGGACGGUACCCCAGGAAUAAGUCUCGGCUAACUACGUG